rnacentral:lncRNA from 1 species
UGAGUUCCCACUAUGCACUACGAGCUGGUGGGCAGACGUCUCAACAUGUAGUUGUGGGAUUUUUGACCCUGCAGAGGUCAUGACCAAGGCAGAUCUUCACCACAGAUCAACCAUUCCCAGCCCUCUGAAGCUCUGGAACUUUCGCCUUGGACACAUCACCCCGCCUGUACACAGUAAGAAAAUUUUAUUUAGAAAGCGCAUGGAUGUGGGAGGGGGCAGAAGGAGAGAGAAAGUCUCCGGUAAACUCCCAGCUGAGCGCAGAGGACCCUGAGAACAUGACCUGAGUCGAAAUCCAGAGUCCACCGCUUAACUGACCGAGACACCCAGGUACCCGCUUAAACAGUCUCCUGCAGAAUUUCUGUUACAAA